UACAGAGGAUGCAAGCGUUAUCCGGAAUGAUUGGGCGUAAAGCGUCUGUAGGUGGUUUCAUAAGUCUACUGUCAAAGAUCAGGGCUUAACCCUGAGCAGGCAGUAGAAACUAAGAAGCUUGAGUACGGUAGGGGCAGAGGGAAUUCCCGGUGUAGCGGUGAAAUGCGUAGAUAUCGGGAAGAACACCAAUGGCGAAAGCACUCUGCUGGGCCGAAACUGACACUCAGAGACGAAAGCUAGGGGAGCGAAUGGGAUUAGAAACCCGGUAGUCC
rnacentral:rRNA from 1 species